AUUGAACGCUGGCGGCACGCCUUACACAUGCAAGUCGAACGGCAGCACGGGAGCAAUCCUGGUGGCGAGUGGCGAACGGGUGAGUAAAGUAUCGGAACGUGCCCAGUCGUGGGGGAUAACGUCGCGAAAGUUACGCUAAUACCGCAUACGCUCUAUGGAUGAAAGCGGGGGAGCGCAAGACCUCGCGCGGUUGGAGCGGCCGAUACCAGAUUAGGUAGUUGGUGGGGUAAAGGCUCACCAAGCCGACGAUCUGUAGCUGGUCUGAGAGGACGACCAGCCACACUGGGACUGAGACACGGCCCAGACUCCUACGGGAGGCAGCAGUGGGGAAUUUUGGACAAUGGGCGAAAGCCUGAUCCAGCCAUGCCGCGUGCAGGAUGAAGGCCUUCGGGUUGUAAACUGCUUUUGUACGGAACGAAAAGGUUUGGCCUAAUAAGCUGAGCUCAUGACGGUACCGUAAGAAUAAGCACCGGCUAACUACGUGCCAGCAGCCGCCGUAA
rnacentral:rRNA from 1 species